rnacentral:rRNA from 1 species
CGGAAGGAUCAUUACUGAGAGGGGCGCCUGCACCAGCAGCUGCCCCGGGGGGUUUCGGCCCCCCGUCUCUUCAACCCUGUGCGUACCAGUCUCUGUUGCUUCGGCGAGCGCCCGGGUGCCCUGCGCCUCGGCCCCGACCACGGUCGGUGAGUUCUCGCCGGAGGCCCAUCAUUAUUCUGUUCAUAGUGUCGUCGGAGUGUACCUAAUAAAUCAAUUAAAACUUUCAACAACGGAUCUCUUGGUUCUGGCAUCGAUGAAGAACGCAGCGAAAUGCGAUAAGUAAUGUGAAUUGCAGAAUUCAGUGAAUCAUCGAAUCUUUGAACGCACAUUGCGCCCCUUGGUAUUCCGAGGGGCAUGCCUGUUCGAGCGUCAUUGCAACCCUCAAGCUUUGCUUGGUAUUGGGCGUUCGUGGCCCCCUAUGGGGGGCGGCGUGCCCGAAAAUUAGUGGCGGUCCAGGGAGACUUCAAGCGCAGUAAAUCUAUCCGCUUUCGAGGUGUCGCCUGCGAUUCUGCCGUAAAGCCCCCUUCGAAUUUUCAAUGAUUGACCUCGGAUCAGGUAGGAAUACCCGCUGAACUUAAGCAUAUCAUAAGCCCG